GAGAAGCUGGUGGGAGUCCGGCACUGUCGCGCAACCGUGACCACCAUUUGUGUGGGAGUCGGGGUACC
rfam:Propionibacterium acnes KPA171202, complete genome.